CGAAAACGAAUUCUCUCUUGAGUGGAUCCUGAGUACGACGGAGCACGUGAAAUUCCGUCGGAAUCUGGGAGGACCAUCUCCUAAGGCUAAAUACUCUCUAGUGACCGAUAGUGAACCAGUACCGUGAGGGAAAGGUGAAAAGUACCCCGGAAGGGGAGUGAAAGAGAACUUGAAACCGUGUGCUUACAAGUAGUCAGAGCCCGUUAAUGGGUGAUGGCGUGCCUUUUGUAGAAUGAACCGGCGAGUUACGAUCUGAUGCAAGGUUAAGCAGAAAAUGUGGAGCCGUAGCGAAAGCGAGUCUGAAUAGGGCGAAUGAGUAUUUGGUCGUAGACCCGAAACCAGGUGAUCUACCCUUGGUCAGGUUGAAGUUCAGGUAACACUGAAUGGAGGACCGAACCGACUUACGUUGAAAAGUGAGCGGAUGAACUGAGGGUAGCGGAGAAAUUCCAAUCGAACUUGGAGAUAGCUGGUUCUCUCCGAAAUAGCUUUAGGGCUAGCCUCAAGUGAUGAUUAUUGGAGGUAGAGCACUGUUUGGACGAGGGGCCCCUCUCGGGUUACCGAAUUCAGACAAACUCCGAAUGCCAAAUAAUUUA
rnacentral:rRNA from 1 species